AGCUUCCGGAGCAGCUGGGACUGCUGGCGCCCGCCACUACGCUCGGCUAAUUUUUUUGUGUUUUUAGUAGAGACGGGCUUUCACCGUGUUGGCCUAGCGGUUCUCCAACUCCUGACCUCAUGAUCCCCCCGCCUCAGCCUCCCAAAGUGCUGGGAUUACAAGCGUGAGCCACCGCGACCCGCCAACACUCUUGACAACAGUGCUGUGCUAAGAACUUGGGGGACUUCAAAAAGUUCACCAGUUCCUGUGUCCAUGGGUGAAAAGAUUUUCUACAUCUUUCCUUGACUAGAAACAGAAGUCCUGAAACAAGAAUAUAACGUCAGGAGGCCAGAGGCUUUGUCCUGCCUAAUGUGUUAUUUCCACACUGAAUAAAAGCACCUGAGUCCUGGUAAGUCUAAUUUGCUAGGUGUGGCAAUAUGACCAGUGAAAAACAACAAGGGCAGCAUUUCCUGCAGUUCGGUGGCACAGUAUGGUUCAAAGAGGUAUAAAAGGAAGUCACAGGCAUUUUAAAAAGGUUGUACAUCUAGCAAUACCUAACAAAAUAGGAAAUCAACUUGGAAAGCCAAUGGCUGUGUUUUGAGUUUAUGGAGAGCCAUAUGUGGCAAGGAACUGAGGGUGGCAUCCAGGCAACAGACUUCAAGAAACUGAGGCUGUCAGUCCAACAACCCACAAGAACUGAAUCUGACCAACAAUCACAGGAACAAACUUAGAAGUAUACUCUUUCCCAGACAAACCUUCAGAUGAGACCACAGCCCCAGCCAUAAGCUUGAAAACAAUCUCAUGAGGGACCUUGAGCCACAGGCAUGUAGUAAAGCUAUGCCAGGAAUCCUGCCUGCCCCACAGAAAAUGUAAAAAAAAUAAAUUUUUAUUGUUUUAAGCCACGAAGUUUUGAAGUAAUUUGAUAUAAAACAAUAGAUAAUUAAUACACAUAGAGAAAAAUUAAGCAGGGAAAGGAGAUAGCUAGUGCUGGAAGAAUGAAGUGAGAAACAUGGUAAUUUAUACAGCAUCAUCAGAGAAGGUCUCAAUCAGAUUUUAACAUUUAAGCAAAACUUUGGAGGAACUGAGAGAGUGAGCUAUCCAUGGGAGGAAGUUUCCAGAAAAAGGAAGAAUAGGUGCAAAGGCACUGAGGUAGGAGUAAUUCUAUAUGUUUAGCGAAGGCAAGGAUGCUAGCAUGGCU
rnacentral:lncRNA from 1 species